AAUAGAUACCCUGGUAGUCCACGCCGUAAACGAUGAGUGCUAAGUGUUAGAGGGUUUCCGCCCUUUAGUGCUGCAGCAAACGCAUUAAGCACUCCGCCUGGGGAGUACGGUCGCAAGACUGAAACUCAAAGGGAAUUGACGGGGGCCCGCACAAGCAGUGGAGCAUGUGGUUUAAUUCGAAGCAACGCGAAGAACCUUACCAGGUCUUGACAUCCUUAUGCCUGCUCUGGAGACAGAGUUUUCCCCUCGGGGACAUAAGUGACAGGUGGUGCAUGGUUGUCGUCAGCUCGUGUCGUGAGAUGUUGGGUUAAGUCCCGCAACGAGCGCAACCCUUGAUCUUAGUUGCCAGCAUUCAGUUGGGCACUCUAAGGUGACUGCCGGUGACAAACCGGAGGAAGGUGGGGAUGACGUCAAAUCAUCAUGCCCCUUAUGACCUGGGCUACACACGUGCUACAAUGGAUGGUACAAAGGGCAGCAAACCGCGAGGUUGAGCCAAUCCCAUAAAACCGAUUCUCAGUUCGGAUU
rnacentral:rRNA from 1 species